AUUAACCUGAAAUGUGCGACAACUCCUGUUAGUUUUGAACCUACAGAUACUUUAAACGGGAUUCCUAUAUCGCCUUGUGGCUGUCAAGCCCUCACUUUGAAAGAAGGAUUGGAAGGGAAGGCAAAAGCAUAGGCUGCGGUCACCCACCUAGCAUUGCUAGGAGUCAAAAGGCAGGAACCGGCAUUUUGGGGAUACC
rnacentral:other from 1 species